UUUUGUGGCUAUUGUAAAUACUUUAUUUCUGGUUAUAUUUUCUAGAUGGUCAUAGUAUAGAGAAAUGUUAUUGAUUGUUAAAUGUUGAGGUUCUGUCUGGCAAUUUUGCAUAUGCAUUCUGAAUUUGUCUCUUGAUUCUGUUGGAUUUUUUUCCUGUGUAGAUGUACUGGGUUGAACAGUGUUCCCCCAAAAUUUAUAUCCACCCUCUCCCUAAGACUGUCACUCUUUUUGAAACAGGGUCUUUGCCAAUGUAAUUAGUGAAAAUGAGGUCAUAGUGGAUUAAGUGGGCCUUAAAUCCAAUGACUAAUGUCCUUAUAAGAAGGCCAUGUAAAGACACACAGAUGAAGAAUUCAGCCAUGUGAUAAUGAAGACAGUGAUUGGAGUGCUGUGUCAAGAAGCCAAGAAUGUCAAGGAUUCCCAGCAACCACCAACACUAGGAAAGAGGCACAGAACAGAUUGCCCCUCAGAGCCUCCUGAAGGAACCCUGCUGACACCUUGACAUUGGACUUCUGGUCUCAUGAAAUGUGAGAGAAUAAAUUUCUACUGUUUCAAGUCACCCAGUUUGCGGAGAGAAAAAUGAGGGUAAGCAAGCAAACCCUACCAAUCCUGCUGAUUAAAGUAUUAAAAGUACUUUCUUAGAAGUGUUGAAAAAUAACUGACAAACUGUGGGAAAUUACCAGGCCAAAGUUGAAGAGAAAAUGGGAGUCCAGAGAAGUAAACAAGCUCAGAAGAUCCUUUUGCCUUGGAGGCAUUUAUCUAGCCACAAAAACUUGCAAUUCCAUUUGGAUGACUUCUGUAGGGAAUCAAGGUAUGAACCCCAGGGAUGACAGAGGAUCAUUAGUUAACCAGGAGCCACAAUAAACUGGGAUACAAUAAGAAUUUGCCCUGGGUGUAAGCAUGAACCAAAAGUGAAGCUACUCUUGUCCAGAAUUUCAGCUUAGGUUCUAAUCACCAGAGUUAUCCAAAGACCCUCAAGCUCUCAACUUAGUUUAAGAUGAUCCAAAACAGAAGUAAUGUAAAAAACAAAUUCCUUCUAAGGAAAAAUAACUUUAUUCUGUGCUUCAAAUUAUUCCUUCAAAGUAUUGUUCAAAUAUGAUUAACAGCAUACAGAUAACCAGGAGCAGCACAAAAAUAACCAGAAAACUAGAUUGCAUGGGAAAGAUUAGCAGAAAAUUUAAGAAACAACAUACAAAAUCAGACUUACACAGACUUCAGACAGGGACUACAUGCAAAAAAAGAAUUAACAUAACAGGGCUGACUGCUAUGAAGCCAUCCCCGCAAGACUGACAAGAAUUGUAUGCCAGGUUCUGGACAGAAAUAUAGAUAUGAUUAAGCAUUAAUCAGGCUGCACUUUGGCUGACUUCUUUGCUGCUAAAAGUCACUUAACACUAGAUUCUGACCAACUGCAUCCCCAGUGUGUGCCUAUAGAUAGAAUUUCUGACAUUACGGUCAUAAGACUGUUUAAAAAUUGGUUUGCAUUCCCAUUGUUCCUAUAGACAGGAUCUCUGACAUUAGAAUCAUAAGUCUUUGUUUAAGGAUUGCUUAAGAUGUUUUUCAGACCCUGAAUGUCAGCGUCCAGUUUGAAAACUUACACAGAUGGAUAGAAAACUUACACAGAAGGAUCAGCAUGAGACUACAGCUUCUUCAUCUGCCUGUCCCGUGUCUUCAUCCUGCGUUCUUUGACCAAUCAAUGGUUUCUGCACUUCCACCCACUCCAAAGUCCUUAAAAAGUCUAACCCCAAGUUCCCUGGGGAGAUGAAUUUAUGGUUUCCUCCAAUCUCCUCAUUUGGUGACCCUACAAUUAAACCCGUUUCUCUGCUCCAACCUGGCAUCUCAGCAUAUUGACUUGCUGUGUGCAUGGAGUGAUAAACCUAUUACAGUUACAGCUAUUCUCUGAAAGGCCUACUUACAAGGCUAGCUCUUGGCUGGUGUAUGGGAACUUGUACCUUGGGAGGAUUCCCACCAUCUCUCAUUGGUAAGAGUAGCUCAUUGUGCCUAAACUGUUUGUGCAAACAGUAUGGUUUAUGCUGAACUCCGGUCCUCCUUCUGAGAGUCUGUGUAUGUGCCAGGCAGAGGUUGCCCAUAUGAUCACCCCCAAUUAAAAACCCUGAGCACUGAGUUUCUAAAGAACUUCCAUUGUUAGUAACAUUCAACAUUCAUAUGUGUGGUCAUGACUCAUUGCUAUGAGAAGUGUGUCCCAUGUUUCUCCACUGGGAGAAAACCCUUGGAACCUUGUUCUUGUUUUCCUCCAGACUACUCAUGUACCUGUUCCCCUUUGCUGAUUUUGUGGUGUAUUCUUUUCCUGUAAUAAGUCUUAGUCAUGAGUAUGACUGUAUAAUGAAUGCCGUGACUCCUUCUAGAAAAUUACUGAACCUGGAGGUGGUCUUGGGGACACUCCAACACAGACUAUAAAAAAACUACACUUAUAAUUAUAACAUUUAAAAAAUACAAAUCUGAAGAAAGGGAAAAAGGGAAAUGUAAAAAGUGACCAAUGAUAUUUGAAA
rnacentral:lncRNA from 10 species